rnacentral:rRNA from 1 species
AGUGAACGCUGGCGGUAGGCCUAACACAUGCAAGUCGAACGGCAGCACAGUAAGAGCUUGCUCUUACGGGUGGCGAGUGGCGGACGGGUGAGGAAUACGUCGGAAUCUACUUUUUCGUGGGGGAUAACGUAGGGAAACUUACGCUAAUACCGCAUACGACCUACGGGUGAAAGCAGGGGAUCUUCGGACCUUGCGCGAUUGAAUGAGCCGAUGUCGGAUUAGCUAGUUGGCGGGGUAAAGGCCCACCAAGGCGACGAUCCGUAGCUGGUCUGAGAGGAUGAUCAGCCACACUGGAACUGAGACACGGUCCAGACUCCUACGGGAGGCAGCAGCGGGGAAUAUUGGACAAUGGGCGCAAGCCUGAUCCAGCCAUACCGCGUGGGUGAAGAAGGCCUUCGGGUUGUAAAGCCCUUUUGUUGGGAAAGAAAAGCAGCAGGUUAAUACCCCGCUGUUCUGACGGUACCCAAAGAAUAAGCACCGGCUAACUUCGU